rnacentral:tRNA from 1 species
CGGGCAAUCGCUUAGCGGUAGAGCUCCCGCUUCGUAUGCGGGAAGACCUGGGUUCGAUUCCCGGCUGCCUCU